rnacentral:rRNA from 2 species
CGAAGGUGGGACAAAUGAUUGGGGUGAAGUCGUAACAAGGUAGCCGUAUCGGAAGGUGCGGCUGGAUCACCUCCUUU